GUGGGGAAUAUUGCACAAUGGGCGCAAGCCUGAUGCAGCAACGCCGCGUGAGGGACGACGGCCUUCGGGUUGUAAACCUCUUUUAGCAGGGAAGAAGCGAAAGUGACGGUACCUGCAGAAAAAGCACCGGCUAACUACGUGCCAGCAGCCGCGGUAAUACGUAGGGUGCAAGCGUUGUCCGGAAUUAUUGGGCGUAAAGAGCUCGUAGGCGGUUUGUCGCGUCUGCUGUGAAAUGCCGAGGCUCAACCUCGGGCCUGCAGUGGGUACGGGCAGACUAGAGUGCGGUAGGGGGGAGUGGAAUUCCUGGUGUAGCGGUGGAAUGAGCAGAUAUCAGGAGGAACACCGAUGGCGAAGGCAGAUCUCUGGGCCGUAACUGACGCUGAGGAGCGAAAGCGUGGGGAGCGAACAGGAUUAGAUACCCUAGUAGUCC
rnacentral:rRNA from 1 species